rnacentral:rRNA from 1 species
GAUGAACGCUGGCGGCGUGCCUAAUACAUGCCAGUCGAGCGAACGGACGAGAAGCUUGCUUCUCUGAUGUUAGCGGCGGACGGGUGAGUAACACGUGGAUAACCCACCUAUAAGACUGGGAUAACUUCGGGAAACCGGAGCUAAUACCGGAUAAUAUUUUGAACCGCAUGGUUCAAAAGUGAAAGACGGUCUUGCUGUCACUUAUAGAUGGAUCCGCGCUGCAUUAGCUAGUUGGUAAGGUAACGGCUUACCAAGGCAACGAUGCAUAGCCGACCUGAGAGGGUGAUCGGCCACACUGGAACUGAGACACGGUCCAGACUCCUACGGGAGGCAGCAGUAGGGAAUCUUCCGCAAUGGGCGAAAGCCUGACGGAGCAACGCCGCGUGAGUGAUGAAGGUCUUCGGAUCGUAAAACUCUGUUAUUAGGGAAGAACAUAUGUGUAAGUAACUGUGCACAUCUUGACGGUACCUAAUCAGAAAGCCACGGCUAACUACGUG